AGCCUUUCCAUUUGUCUCGCAGACCUGGAGUCACGUGACACAGAGCGCCAGCUAAAUCAAAAGUUGGCCGUUUCAGAGCAACAUUGAGCCUCACCGUAUCGAGACGCAACAACCACUGUUCCGCGGCUUUUGUAUUUAAAACAGUUCUAAAUCCAACCGGAGAGAACCCUUGUUUUAUGGUGUUUUAUGGUUCUUCUUUCAUCGUUUGACUAAUUUACGUGUGAUUUCAGCUGGAUCAAAGGGGAAAUUAAUCAGUCAGAUGGAUUGCAGAAAUACCUGGUUUGUUUCUCGAGGACAUUUACUAAGUAAUAUAUGCUGGAAGUAAAGGCUAUGCUUAUGGGAACUCAGCAGUCCUCAACCAUAAGGAUCCCGUUGCCAGUCUCGUUACCAUGACUGAUGGCGAGGGGAGAGAGCAGUUCCACCCGCUGGGUAGCGAGGAAGUCCGGGUCCCGAUCUCAGGCUCGGGGCAAUGCCCGGCUCAAGGCGAGGACCCCGGGGAUGAGGAAGAUGGAGACAGCGCUGGAAAACCCGUUGGGGGGAGUGUGGGUUCAGGGGGGUCCAGUGGUCGGGACAAGGCUCCGGACCUGGUAUCCGAGGAUGAGGAACAGGUCCCGCAUCCAGUUUUGGCUCCCGUGGUCUUUUUCUGGCUCAAGCAGACGACGCGUCCCCGCAGUUGGUGCCUCAGAUUGGUUUGUAAUCCAUAUCCUUUCCAAUA